rnacentral:rRNA from 1 species
UCGCUAGGUGUCAGCCACGGUGCGACCGUUGUUGGUGCCGCAGGGAAGCCGUGAGCGAGCCACCUGGGAAGUACGGCCGCAAGGCUGAAACUUAAAGGAAUUGGCGGGGGAGCACCACAACGGGUGGAGCUUGCGGUUUAAUUGGAUUCAACGCCGGAAAUCUUACCGGGACCGACAGCAAUAUGNAGGCCAGGCUGAAGACUUUGCCGGAUUAGCUGAGAGGNGGUGCAUGGCCGUCGUCAGUUCGUACUGUGAAGCAUCCUGUUAAGUCAGGCAACGAGCGAGACCCACGCCCACAGUUGCCAGCGUACUCUCUGGAGUGACGGGUACAU